rnacentral:rRNA from 1 species
UACGGAGAGUGCAAACGUUGUUCGGAUUCACUGGGCGUAAAGGGCACGUAGGCGGCCAGGCAAAUCGAUCGUGGAAUACCAACGCUUACCGUUGGUGCGGCGGUCGAAAAUACCUGGAUCGAGGGCGUGAGGGGUCACUGGAACUUCUGGUGGAGCGGUGAAAUGCGUAGAUAUCAGAAGGAACGCCGGAGGCGAAAGCGAGUGACUGGCGCGUUCCUGACGCUGAGGUGCGAAAGCUGGGGGAGCAAACAGG